UUAGUAACGGCGAGUGAAGCGGCAAAAGCUCAAAUUUGAAAUCUGGCACCUUCGGUGUCCGAGUUGUAAUUUGAAGAAGGUAACUUUGGAGUUGGCUCUUGUCUAUGUUCCUUGGAACAGGACGUCACAGAGGGUGAGAAUCCCGUGCGAUGAGAUGCCCAAUUCUAUGUAAAGUGCUUUCGAAGAGUCGAGUUGUUUGGGAAUGCAGCUCUAAGUGGGUGGUAAAUUCCAUCUAAAGCUAAAUAUUGGCGAGAGACCGAUAGCGAACAAGUACAGUGAUGGAAAGAUGAAAAGAACUUUGAAAAGAGAGUGAAAAAGUACGUGAAAUUGUUGAAAGGGAAGGGCUUGAGAUCAGACUUGGUAUUUUGCGAUCCUUUCCUUCUUGGUUGGGUUCCUCGCAGCUUACUGGGCCAGCAUCGGUUUGGAUGGUAGGAUAAUGACUAAGGAAUGUGGCUCUACUUCGGUGGAGUGUUAUAGCCUUGGUUGAUACUGCCUGUCUAGACCGAGGACUGCGUCUUUUGACUAGGAUGUUGGCAUAAUGAUCUU
rnacentral:rRNA from 1 species